UUUUUUUUUCCAAUUGACAAUUUUUUAUUUUGUCUUUGAGCAAAAAGAAACAUGGGGAUACAGAACGAGGAAAGAGGGGGGGGGGGAAUUAUACAUUGCAUAAUGGCUACACAGACAAUAGCUAUGUGUAGUUAUAUACAUAUCAGUGUACAACAUAGUUAGACAUCUACAUACAAACAUGCUUCCCUGAGUUGUGUGUUUUCUGGAGCUUCAUUGCUUAGUUACC